UUGAACGCUGGCGGUAUGCUUUACACAUGCAAGUCGAACGGGCUAUGGGGCUUGCUCCAUAGUUAGUGGCGAACGGGUGAGUAAUAUAUCGGAACGUGCCCGAUCGUGGGGGAUAACGGAGUGAAAGCUUUGCUAAUACCGCAUACGAUCUACGGAUGAAAGCAGGGGACCGCAAGGCCUUGCGCGGACGGAGCGGCCGAUGGCAGAUUAGGUAGUUGGUGGGAUAAAAGCUUACCAAGCCGACGAUCUGUAGCUGGUCUGAGAGGACGACCAGCCACACUGGGACUGAGACACGGCCCAGACUCCUACGGGAGGCAGCAGUGGGGAAUUUUGGACAAUGGGCGAAAGCCUGAUCCAGCCAUGCCGCGUGCAGGAUGAAGGCCUUCGGGUUGUAAACUGCUUUUGUACGGAACGAAAAGACUCCUUCUAAUAAAGGGGGUCCAUGACGGUACCGUAAGAAUAAGCACCGGCUAACUACGU
rnacentral:rRNA from 1 species